UGGGGAAUAUUGGACAAUGGGGGCAACCCUGAUCCAGCCAUGCCGCGUGAGUGAUGAAGGCCUUCGGGUUGUAAAGCUCUUUUGGCGGGGACGAUGAUGACGGUACCCGCAGAAUAAGCCCCGGCUAACUUCGUGCCAGCAGCCGCGGUAAGACGAAGGGGGCUAGCGUUGUUCGGAAUUACUGGGCGUAAAGCGAGUGUAGGCGGUUGCCGUAGUCAGGUGUGAAAGCCUUGAGCUCAACUCAAGAAAUGCACUUGAUACUGGGUGACUAGAGGACCGGAGAGGAUAGUGGAAUUCCCAGUGUAGUGGUGAAAUACGUAGAGAUUGGGAAGAACACCAGUGGCGAAGGCGGCUAUCUGGACGGUUACUGACGCUAAGACUCGAAAGCGUGGGGAGCAAAACAGGAUUAGAUACCCUGGUAGUCCACGCCGUAAACGAUGGGUGCUAGACGUUGGCGAGCUUGCUCGUCAGUGUCGCAGCUAACGCGUUAAGCACCCCGCCUGGGGAGUACGGCCGCAAGGUUGAAACUUAAAUGAAUUGACGGGGGUCAUAGCUGUUUCCU
rnacentral:rRNA from 1 species